rnacentral:rRNA from 1 species
GAUGAACGCUGGCGGCGUGCCUAAUACAUGCAAGUCGAGCGAACGGACGAGAAGCUUGCUUUUCUGAUGUUAGCGGCGGACGGGUGAGUAACACGUGGAUACCUACCUAUAAGACUGGGAUAACUUCGGGAAACCGGAGCUAAUACCGGAUAAUAUUUUGAACCGCAUGGUUCAAAAGUGAAAGACGGUCUUGCUGUCACUUAUAGAUGGAUCCGCGCUGCAUUAGCUAGUUGGUAAGGUAACGGCUUACCAAGGCAACGAUGCAUAGCCGACCUGAGAGGGUGAUCGGCCACACUGGAACUGAGACACGGUCCAGACUCCUACGGGAGGCAGCAGUAGGGAAUCUUCCGCAAUGGGCGAAAGCCUGACGGAGCAACGCCGCGUGAGUGAUGAAGGUCUUCGGGUCGUAAAACUCUGUUAUUAGGGAAGAACAUAUGUGUAAGUAACUGUGCACAUCUUGACAGUACCUAAUCAGAAAGCCACGGCUAACUACGUG